rnacentral:rRNA from 1 species
GAUGAACGCUGGCGGCGUGCCUAACACAUGCAAGUCGAGCGAAGCACCUUACUUGAUUUCUUCGGGAUGAAAGUAUUGUGACUGAGCGGCGGACGGGUGAGUAACGCGUGGAUAACCUGCCUCAUACAGGGGGAUAACAGUUAGAAAUGACUGCUAAUACCGCAUAUGCCAUGAACAUCACAUGAUGAAAAUGGGAAAAGAGUAAUCUGCUAGUAGAUGGGCUCGCGUCUGAUUAGAUAGUUGGUGGGGUAACGGCCUACCAAGUCGACGAUCAGUAGCCGGACUGAGAGGUUGAACGGCCACAUUGGGACUGAGAUACGGCCCAG